AAUAUUGCUCACUAGGCGAAAGCCUGACGCACCAACGCCCCGUGUGGGUGGUCGUCCUCCGAGUUGUUAACCUCUUUUCGGGGGGACGAGGAAUGUUGGUACGCCCGGACGUCGUCUCGGUUAACUACGUGCCAGCAGCCGCGGUAAUACGUAGUAGGCGAGCGUUAUCCGGAUUUCCUGGGUGUAAAGCGCGUGUAGGCGUUCCUGCAAGUGGUGCGUGAAAGCGCCCGGCUCAACCGGGCGAGGACGUGGGAUAACUGCAGGGCUAGAGGCAGUUAGGGGCGUGUGGAAUUCCGGGUGUAGUGGUGAAAUGCGUAGUGAUCCGGAGGAACACCAGUGGCGAAGGCGACACGCUGGGCCUGGCCUGACGCUGGGAGGCGAAAGCAUGGGGAGCGAACGGG
rnacentral:rRNA from 1 species